ACUGAACGCUGGCGGCAGGCCUAACACAUGCAAGUCGAACGGUAACAGGAAGCAGCUUGCUGCUUUGCUGACGAGUGGCGGACGGGUGAGUAAUGUCUGGGAAACUGCCUGAUGGAGGGGGAUAACUACUGGAAACGGUAGCUAAUACCGCAUAACGUCGCAAGACCAAAGAGGGGGACCUUCGGGCCUCUUGCCAUCGGAUGUGCCCAGAUGGGAUUAGCUAGUAGGUGGGGUAACGGCUCACCUAGGCGACGAUCCCUAGCUGGUCUGAGAGGAUGACCAGCCACACUGGAACUGAGACACGGUCCAGACUCCUACGGGAGGCAGCAGUGGGGAAUAUUGCACAAUGGGCGCAAGCCUGAUGCAGCCAUGCCGCGUGUAUGAAGAAGGCCUUCGGGUUGUAAAGUACUUUCAGCGGGGAGGAAGGGAGUAAAGUUAAUACCUUUGCUCAUUGACGUUACCCGCAGAAGAAGCACCGGCUAACUCCGUG
rnacentral:rRNA from 1 species